rnacentral:lncRNA from 1 species
ACCGUGUCCACUUCUGCUUUAUGUUUUUAAGUAUGUGUGUGUGGUUUGUGUGAGAGAGAGAGAUAGAGAGAAAGAGAGAGAGAGCAAAAGAGAGCGAGAGAGAGAAGGGGGGGGGAGGAGGGAGAGAGAGAGAGAGAAAAAAAGAGAGAGACAGAGAGUCUGUGUUGCAGAACGAGUGCUGAGAACAACUUGGCUUAAUGAGUCUCUUUCUUCCCUCUUUUCUUUCCCUUUCUGUCACUCCUCCUUCUCUUUCACUCUCUCGCUAGCGCGCUCUUCCUUUAUCUCUCUCUCUCUCUCGCUUUCACUCUCUCUGACACACACAUACUCUGAGAGGGGUGUUUGCCUAAUUAGCUGCAUCUGAUGUGGCUUCUGGUAAGAAUCUGGGUAAGUUGCAUUAGACUGGAAGUCAAAUGUCAGAUGGAAAGUUAUAGCACGCAUGGUCAUCUUGUAAACUCCAGAAAAAUAACAUAUUGGGGGGCUUUAAGUUACAAUUUCAAUAAACAUUGGUGGAUAUAUUACCAGUUUCGGCACACUCAAAUAAAAACAAAAACACACCGUCUACUAAAAUGCCAGAUAUUGACCUUGCUGCAACCUUUAUUCACAUGUGACUAUGUGUGUGUACGUAUAUUUGUCUUGGUGCAAGUAAGUUAAACCGACAUUGUGGGAAUUCCCUCUUCCUCUUUUUUUAGCAUCUACAUAUAAUAUGUUUCGACCAAAUCCUCAAGAGACAGCGCAUCCUAAAACUUCACAUGGAUGACCGAGUUGUGAAUAUUUGCCCAUGAUUCAUGGUUUCCAUUUCUGGAAAUGCACCACGCUUUCUUGCCCGCCACACGCCAGCUGCAGUAAGGUGAGGCUAUGUAGAGGGCUCGGGGCUCCCCAAAACCCCACGUCGAAUUCCCUCAUUGUCUUUCACUCUAAAUGACUCUCCGUGAAGACGUUACAGCGUGGGGAAAACGUACAGUUCGAGGAGAUUAAAUAUUCUCUGAAUGUACACAGCGGUGUGGUACGACACUGCAGCUUUAACGUCCAUCAAAAUCGCCGUUAAAAAGUCAUGGUGGGUGGACUGCGAAGCUGCAUAUGUGACUUCUUGUAUUAUUUUCUUGUUUACCCAAAUCACUAGGUAGCAUUUGGUGAUACAAGAACAAGAUUUUCUUGUGAGAAAAAAAAAGAAUCAGGACCAAAACAGCUUUGCUUGGCAGAACAGCCCUCCCACACAGAAACAUGUUCCACCAUCACAGGGAUUUUGAAGAGCUUGGGCAAGGCCAGACAUUUCUAAUACUUGGCAUUUAACGCUGUCCAAAAGAGUUGAGACCGUAAAAAGAAAAGAAAGAGGAGGAAAGCUGAUUAGUCAAAUUAUGCUUUAACCCGGGCACAGACACAAUACAGUAGAAAAACAAAACAAGUCUACGACUUUGACUUAGUGCGGACACAUUUCCAAAUCGAGUUUAUUUCUAAGCCUUAAAUAACCCG